rnacentral:rRNA from 1 species
AAUGAACGUUGGCGGCCUGGAUUAGGCAUGCAAGUUGAGCGAACCCGCAAGGGGAGCAGCGUAAGGGGCAGUAAGGCAUAGGUACCUACCCGCGGCUCGGGCAUAGCCUGUAGAGAUACAGGGUAAUUCCCGAUGACCUCGAGAGAGCAAAGCUCCGGCGGCCGCGGAGGGGCCUAUGUGAUAUUAGCUAGUUGGUGGGGUAACGGCCCACCAAGGCGAAGAUGUCUAGCGGGUGUGAGAGCACGACCCGCGCCACUGGCACUGAGACACUGGCCAGACACCUACGGGUGGCUGCAGUCGAGGAUCUUCGGCAAUGGGCGCAAGCCUGACCGAGCGAGGCCGCGUGGGCGAUGAAGGC